CACGUAGGGCGCGAGCGUUGUCCGGAAUUAUUGGGCGUAAAGAGCUCGUAGGCGGCUCGUUGCGUCGGCUGUGAAAACCCGCAGCUCAACUGUGGGCUUGCAGCCGAUACGGGCGGGCUGGAGUUCGGUAGGGGAGACUGGAAUUCCUGGUGUAGCGGUGAAAUGCGCAGAUAUCAGGAGGAACACCGGUGGCGAAGGCGGGUCUCUGGGCCGAUACUGACGCUGAGGAGCGAAAGCGUGGGGAGCGAACAGG
rnacentral:rRNA from 1 species